GAUGAACGCUGGCGGCGUGCCUAAUACAUGCAAGUCGAGCGAACGGACGAGAAGCUUGCUUUUCUGAUGUUAGCGGCGGACGGGUGAGUAACACGUGGAUAACCUGCCUAUAAGACUGGGAUAACUUCGGGAAACCGGAGCUAAUACCGGAUAAUAUUUUGAACCGCAUGGUUCAAAAGUGAAAGACGGUCUUGCUGUCACUUAUAGAUGGAUCCGCGCUGCAUUAGCUAGUUGGUAAGGUAACGGCUUACCAAGGCAACGAUGCAUAGCCGACCUGAGAGGGUGAUCGGCCACACUGGAACUGAGACACGGUCCAGACUCCUACGGGAGGCAGCAGUAGGGAACCUUCCGCAAUGGGCGAAAGCCUGACGGAGCAACGCCGCGUGAGUGAUGAAGGUCUUCGGAUCGUAAAACUCUGUUAUUAGGGAAGAACAUAUGUGUAAGUAACUGUGCACAUCUUGACGGUACCUAAUCAGAAAGCCACGGCUAACUACGUG
rnacentral:rRNA from 1 species